GUAAUAGGGAACUUUGUCAAAUGUCGUCCAAUAUUUGAUCAAAUCUAGGGCCUCGCUGUAGAUUUGAUCAAAGAAGUCGCUUCUGUUCACUGCAAUGUGACAUGUUACCACAUGGAGCGCUAGCGUCGCUGCAUUCUGUCGUCUGUACUCUGUAGUGUUUUUAUAAAUAUUUCGAAUAAAUGUAAUUGGUGUCUGUCGACAACUACAAAAUUAAUAGAGAUGUAUGAAGCUGAUGAGGCGCUUUACAACGUGAGGCAUGCUUAAUACAAAAAUUGAUUACGAAGGUUGGAGACCUGACCUGACCUAAUCUAACCUAACCCUCUCCUGUAGCAAAGAAUCGGAGUGUCACAGUGAGCCUGUCUUCUGCAUAUGUAGCAGUUCUUAAGUGAGGAUUGUGCUGUGUGAUAUGAGGAUACACUUCAUUGAGCACAUACAGAAAUGUAUGCUUAUCCAUUCUUAAGUAAUUGACCUCCGACUAGACGUCUUUCACCAUAAGCUCACGUAACAAGUUUUGUUGAAUGCUUUUAUCGUGUCGUCGUAAAGCGCACGGCUUCACCCAGCAAUUUAUUAAGUGGUUAAUCUGGAUUUGCAACAGCAUACUACAUGUUUCUAAAUCUUGGUGUUGGUGACAGGCUGAUCUAUAGUGUAGCCCUAGGCUUAGUUUGGAAUGUUGGCAUAAAGCAGUCUGAUAUUGAUUGUAUGUACAUACCACAACCAGUUUGUUUCUUAUGACACAUGAGUAGGAGAGGUCUCCAUUACCAUUAUUUCUCGGGCACCCUGGUCAUAAUAAUUAUUAGAGAGCUGCUAAUAUGUUUUGACACUUACUCAGUGUUAUCUUGUGUAUUUCAACUAAAUUAUUUCCUCAGAAUAACACACAAAUGCUGUAUUUAAGUUUCUAUUUCUUAUGCAUUGUAAUGUUAUUUUCAGAGUUCUUUCUGUGGAAGGAACAGAUGGAAGUUGAAGAGAAGGUUUCCUUCAUAAGACCAAGGGGAAAACAGAAAUGUGAUUAUUUUGUUUGCCACCGUUCUGGAUAUGCUGACAAAACAGCUUCAGGCAGAAGGUUAAGGGAACCUUCAAUCAAAAUUGGUGGCACCUGCCCUGCCUGUUUGGUAGUAAAAAAUGUGUCAUCUAACAUGGUUAAUGUCAAGUUCUACAGGACACAGUCUCUCUGUGGGUAGCCUACAUCUUACCACAGCUGACAGGGCAAUGGUUGCUGAAUUAAUUGCACAAGGUGUUCCUGAUACUACAAUUUUGAAGAAAGUGAGAGAGAGCAUUCAAGUUGGACUCUUCAGAAGAGUUCAUCUUUUAAGCAAACAAGAUAUUAGAAAUAUUAGGAAAGAAUACAAGCUGGACGAUAGUAGUGCACACCAAGAUGACGCAACCAGUGUUGAUCUGUGGGUGAGACAACAAGAGCGCCUAGGGAAAGAUUCCCUGGUGAUUUAUUACAAAGCCCAAGGCACUGAGGAUAAUGGAAACAAAUUAUCAGAAAGUGACUUUAUGAUAGUCCUUAUGACUGAGUAUCAGCAGAAAAUGGCAAAAAAAUUCUGUGCAGAAAAAGUUUUGAUAGACAGCACACAUGGCACUAAUAGGUAUAAAUUUUAUCUGACCACACUGUUAACCGUGGAUGAAUUUGGUGCUGGAUGUCCAGUUUCUUAUUGCCUCAGUACACAUACUGACACAAGGUCCAUGCAAGUUUUCUUUGAGCAGAUUAAAAAAUGUAUUGGAAACAUCAAAACAAAGGUAUUCAUGUCUGAUGACUGUGACAGCUACUACAGUGCCUGGAGUGUAGUUAUGGGCCAUAGUGAACAUAGGUUGUUAUGUACCUGGCACACGUUGAUCGGGCAUGGAGACAGAAUAUAUGUGCAAAAGUAAAUGGGAAUGCAAUGCUGAAGAGUACUGUAUACAAAGCUCUGAAAACUUUGCACUUACAGACAGAGAGAAAUUCUCAGAGCUGCUGGAUGGCUUUCUUACUUGGUGUGCAGAGGAGGAAGGAACUGAGGAGUUUGGCAAGUACUUUAAAGAUAGAUAUUCAUGGAGGGCACAUAUGUGGGCAUACAGCUACAGAAUUGGACUUGGCCUUAAUACAAAUAUGUUCUUAGAAGCAAACCAUAAAACUCUCAAAUACUCAUACUUACUGAAGAAAAUAAAUAACAGAGUAGAUAAAUGUAUCCAGGCUCUAUUGCACAGAACGAGGGACUCACUUUUUCAAAGAUUAAUAAGGCUUUGUAAGGGGACAGAGAGAACCACACGCAGUGCUGAAAUAAGUAAGAGUCACAGAAGAGGUUGUGGUAUUAAUAAGGAACUGAUACACUGUGUUGAAGAUGGCACAUGGCAUGUAUACACCAUUUCUGGUCGGCCCCCAUAUACUGUCACCUAUACAGAGAACUCUUGCAGUGCAUGCCCAUUGUCCUGUACUGAGUGCAAGAUCUGUGUGCACAGUUGUGUGUGUUCUUGCACAGACAAUUUGAUCAAGGGUAACCUCUGUGAACACGUUCAUGCAGUGGAAAUGAGCAAAGGAACUGUAAAGCUCCCUAUGCAAGACAGGUUCUGCAGAGAGUCAUCUGUGCAGGAGUUAACACAAAUAGUUGCACAGCAGACUUCAGCUGCUGACAGCACUGUUGACUACCGAGCUGCUUUGGAAGACAGGGCUGACUAUUGUGCAACAAUUAGCAAGAAGUGCUAACAGCAAAACUGCUGGUUCUCUCCUUGUGUCAUUUGAUAAAUUAAUUAAAGAAAUGAGGGCAGGCAUUGCAUCGCAAAAAGAACUCGUUGGUCGACAUUUUCCAGUAACUUCAGCUCCACCAAAUGAGACACGCAGGAUUCGGAGACAGUUCCAAUCAGUAAGGAGGACAUGUGAAAAGAAGGAACAUUCAUUUGCAACACCAUCCUGUGCCGAAAUUGAGACCAUUGUACAAGACCUCUUGGGAAGUGGAAACAGUAGCUGAGACCAUGUAUAUGCAAAACACAAGUAGGGAAACCAUCCAAUAGCUCUGAGAAUUUUUCUUUUUGUGCUUGUAAGUGUAGGGUUUUCAGCACAGUGCGCACAGUACUCUUCAGCAUUGAAUUGCCAUUUAUGUUUUGCACAUGUCCUCUGUCAGCAAUUCUAGCCAGCAUGCGAGGCACACAACCUGUGGUCAGUAUAACCCAUAACUAUACUCUCCUCACAUUGUAGUAGCUGUCACAAUCACCAAACUGUGUUGAUACAAGCUUUGUUGAUGAGACUGUCAUCUUGUGUUUGGUGUUUCUAGUAAACUUUUGUACGUGAUCUAAGAAAAACCUGCAUAGGCCACACUUAGUGUGUGUAGUGAGGCAGUAAAUAAUAAGAGAUCUUGCACCAGAUUCACCCAUAGUCAACAGUGGUGUUACACAGCACACUUGCACUAAUAGGUGUAAUUUCUUAAGAUUGUAUUAUUAGAAUACCAUAUGCAAUUAACUUGGGAACAUUUGCCCUUUCAGCUGUAGGCUACCAACAGAGAGAUGCGUGCUGUAUAGAACUUCACACUGUGAAAGAGGCACCACAGCUGUGACCAUAUUCUGAAUGGGAUUGCCUUUUACCUUUUGACUGAGCUGCUCAUUACAUUACAUUAAAUUAAUACUUACUCCAUAGUUCAUGAAUACUACAUUUCAUAGUGGAAUGUUUUGUUAGUUUUUUUAGUUAUUACUUCAUAUGCAAAAAUCAUAUCUAAAAAUUCAAAUGUUGUUUGGCUAUGUAUCAGACUUUUAAUGCUAUUAGGUAAAUGAACAGAUUUUUGUGGCGGUAUAAUUCACCCCCUUUUCAUCCCAAAGUCAAAUAUAACCCAGAAUAGUGAAGAUCAUACUUUCUUUUACUAUUAUAGCUAUGCACUUUGCUGUUAUUUUUGAAUUAGGAUGAAUUAUUAACAACAAAAAAGUUCAUAAGUGAAUAUUUGUUUAGUGAAGGUUCUGUGAAUAUCCUGAGUUCCUUGAAUAAAGGACUGCAAGGUUAUCUUAGAUGGGCUGCAGGCAUUAUUCUGAUUUGCACUUAUGUGCAAUGAAUACUUUCUCUCUUAAUGAGGAACUACCCCAAAAUGUGACAGCAUAUGAAAGCAGUAAAUGAAAAUAUUGCUAUAACCCUAAGAGCAUAAGUUCAUAUCCUAAAAACGAGUUACUCCCGCAAGUUUGUGCCUACUCCCCCCCCCCCCCCCUCCCCCUCCUCAAGAUUUUGCUUUUCACCCCUUUGCUAUUCAGAUGCUGGCCAUGCCCCGUAAAGUCCCACCUACCAGUGCAUGAACAGGAACCAAACCUAUGCCUGACAAAGUAGUUGCCCGAAGCAGCUGAUCUAGCUGCAUAUUGGCCCUCCUGAUGGAGCUGUUCAGUUGGGCCAUCAUACUGCAUAAAAGCCGGAACCAAGUCAACAUUAGUAUGGUUCAUUGCAGAUGGUAUUGGUAUUGGUACCUGUCAUCUAAUUUUUCCACAAGAUCUGGCCCAUGCCUCUUCCAUAGCUGCUAGUUAACAGGACUUUCCUCCUACGUUAUACUAUUUUUAUUUAUUUGUUUUUGGAACGGUUUCCUGGUGAAAGUCUGUUGAUAUCUCCUCUGUCCAGAUUUAAUUGUAAGGAUUUCUGUUAACUAUGUAAUUUUAUUAUGAAAUAUAAAAAAAAGUUUCUUAACUGAUCAUUUUUGUUGGAUUGGGAUUAGCUGACAGUAAAACUUUUGUUUUUCAUAAUGAGUUACAGAGAAAGAAUGAUGUUGUAUAGCAUCUCAUAAGAUAAAUCACUAAGUAAUCCUGUCACAUAAGUAGAAUAGUGUUUAACUUAAGGAAUGUAAAUGUCACCUAGAAGCGUUGUCAUAUUCUUUCUUUCCAGUUGAGAUUCUUUCUCUUGUUGUAUGUACAAAGAUAAAUUACCCACUAUUUCCAAAUGUUACACGUCUUUUUGUUGAAUUGUACAUAUGUCCUUGUCUUGUUGUAUAUGUCUGUUCAAGGUUUUUCCUUUUGCUGUUAUCUGUCUAUAAUAAUGUAGGUUCAUGUACAACAUGAUGGCUGUCAUAUAUUUAUUCUCUUUUUGAUUUUUUGGGAAUGGCUGGUGUAAUGUUUCCCUCUGUUUCUUAAGAAAUGUUUUCUUAUGUUUAUGAAUGAUUUCAAGCAUUUUUGUUACUUCUGUAUGUAAAGGAAAUGUGUCCUGAAGAGACUUAAUAAUCAAAUAAAAUAUUUUUUAUAUCA